rnacentral:rRNA from 1 species
UGGGGAAUAUUUCACAAUGGGCGCAAGCCUGAUGCAGCCAUGCCGCGUGUAUGAAGAAGGCCUUCGGGUUGUAAAGUACUUUCAGCGGGGAGGAAGGGAGUAAAGUUAAUACCUUUGCUCAUUGACGUUACCCGCAGAAGAAGCACCGGCUAACUCCGUGCCCGCAGCCGCGGUAAUACGGAGGGUGCAAGCGUUAAUCGGAAUUACUGGGCGUAAAGCGCACGCAGGCGGUUUGUUAAGUCAGAUGUGAAAUCCCCGGGCUCAACCUGGGAACUGCAUCUGAUACUGGCAAGCUUGAGUCUCGUAGAGGGGGGUAGAAUUCCAGGUGUAGCGGUGAAAUGCGUAGAGAUCUGGAGGAAUACCGGUGGCGAAUGCGGCCCCCUGGACGAAGACUGACGCUCAGGUGCGAAAGCGUGGGGAGCAAACAGG